rnacentral:lncRNA from 1 species
GGAUUUGGGACAAGUGUAAGGUCUUCCAUAGAACAAUUUAAGUUGGGAGCUGUUGUAUCCACGACCACAUAAAAAGUUCAAAUAAUCAGUUAUAUUUAGGUCAUACACAAGUCCGGGAUCUGCGGCAAGAUUAGGUCGAACGUGCCCUGCACCAUAUGCAUUAGGAGUUGCUUCUUCUUGUGAUGAAUCCAACACAUGACCUCCGAUGUUGUUUUUUGUCGUUGCUGCAAAAGGUUUGAAAUUUUAUGAUUAACAAACACAGAAAAUUGAGUUACACAAUCUUAUAUGUGUAUAAGUAAUAUACUUUACCUGUAGUCAUGAUUGCUGACUUGAUAGCAGCUGGACUCCAAUCAGGAUGGAUAGAUUUAAGCAGCCCAACAAGUCCGGCAACAUGAGGACAUGCCAUCGAAGUGCCUGACAUAAUAUUAAAAUGAGUUCUUCGCUUAUCAGAUUCACUUGGUGAAGGAGGUAUAGCUUCGCUAUAAGCUGCAAUUAUUUUGAUUCCUGGUGCAGUGAUGUCAGGCUGAAAUAGAAAAUAAAAUUUACAAUUACAUGGUCACCUACAAUUUUUUUUAUAAUAUUGCUUAAAGAUUGAUUAAUAAUUAUCGCAACCUUAAGGAUUGAAGGGGCAAGGAUAUUUGGUCCUCUUGAUGAAAAUGCAGCUAUAGAUGGAGAUGCCUUUACACCCAAUUGUGUUUUAACUCUAGUAAUGUAAGCUACAGGAGACCUACAUAAUGUAUGUAUGAAAUUAAGUAUAUGAGUAAUGAAAACUAUAAAAUCAAAUCAUGGAAAAAGUUAUGGAGCCCAUAUCAUGGGAGAAAAAUUACUUGGUGUAAUUGACAUAUUUUAAAAUGACGUUUCCAUCUUUAAAGUUAACAUGUGAAGCGGGAAGCACAUGAGCGUCAGGUAUAAUUUCACCGCCUGAAAAAUCGUCAUUAGCCAAAAUCAUUCCAACAGCACCUACACGAGAAGCUUCCACACCCUUGUCAACUCUACUAUUGUUACCUAGAAGACAUACCAAUAUUUUUCCCUUUGCUUUAUGAGAAUCAAGAGACCCAUUAAUGCAAAGGAGGCUGCAUAAAAUAAAAUAAUCAUUUGAAAACUAUCUCUGAAGAGAUUGAAAAUUUGUUACUUUAGGUUACAAGAUCAAGCCGAUGGACAACUACACAAAAUUUAUUUGAGAAGGUGUCAACUUAAAAUGAAAGUAUUCUUACGCUUCUCCCGCUGACACAUGAUCAAAUUUGGCAUCAGCAGCACUAAUCAAUGGGUACAACUUAUGAGGCGGUAAUUCAUGCUCUGAAAGGCUCUCUCCCUAACAAUGACAAUUUCAAACAAUUAAUUAAACUUACUAAAUUAAAGAAUUAAAAUAACAAAGGAAAUUAGAGAUAUAAACAAUAUACCUUGAAUAUUUUCUUGUUACCAAGAAUAACAUAACUUGUGAAAUCUCUAUCUAUUGUGCUUGCAGCAACUGUGAGCGUCCAAGGUUCCAGGUUUGCUACAGUGUUAGGAGAAGGUCCUGAAUUUCCUCCAGCAGCCACAACAAUGAUGUUGUUGGCAACUGCAUGGAAAGACCCUAUGGAAAUACUGCUAUUGUGAAAUUCAACAGGAAUAUUUCUACCCAAAGACACUGAAAGCACGUCGACACCAUCACUUAUUGCAGCUUCAAAACCAGCCAAAAUAUCUGCAUCUUGACAUCCAUCGUCCCAACAAACCUUAUAGGCUGCAACUCGUGCUUUUGGUGAUCCACCACUUGCUGUUCCAUUUCCAUUGCCAAAUACACUUGCAUUGGCAACGAAAUUUCCUCCAGCAGUUGAUAAAGUAUGUGAACCAUGACCUUCAAAGUCACGUGCACUAUUGAAUGUUUCAUUUGGGUUUCUAAUAGGAAUUGGCACUGCCAGAUAGCCUUUGUUAAAAUAUCUUGCUCCAAUAAGCUUCCUACAAAGAUGUAAUAAAAAUUCAAAGUAUGAGCAUAUAGAAUAAUAUAAAAGUAUGAGCAUAGAAAAUUAUGAAUGAUGUAAUACCAUUUUAAGGACUUAAACUACUAGAUAAAAUACAAUUAAAUAUAUGUGGAAUUAUAUCGAGAGUAAGAGACCUGUUGCAGUGAAAGUUAUCGGGAUUUCCUUUAGUAGUUUGACAAGUUCCAUGCCACUUUUUAGGAAUUGGACCAUAUCCUUCAUCACUAAAACUCUUAGAUUCUGGCCAAACACCUGUCAUAAGUCACAACAUCAAUAAAAAGAGGGUUGAUGAACAUUGGUUAUAAAAAUCUAAACAAAUAUUGGAAAAAGAAGUAUCAUAUAAUGAAGUAUUCAAUUAUAUUUCAACUAAGAUAUUUGUCGAGGUUAAUUAUGACUUUUUUUAAAAUAAUAAUUAACCAAAACAGUAGAAUUUAAUUUACGUACAUUUGUGUAAAGUUUUUUAUACACAUAUCAAAUCACAUGUGAUGUCAAAUUUAUAUAUUAGUUUCUAAAAUAUCUCUACACAAGACACAUGUAUCCAUUAGAAUACCCUUCAAACACAUGACCAUUUACAGCAAUUUAAUUGAUUGCACAUGUAAAAAUGUUUUACACCAUUUGUGUAUAGAAAUUAAUUUUUAAAAUUAAAAUAAAUGAAAAUAAUUCAAGUAGCUACGAUACUAAAGUUUCACGUAAAUCAAUUAGUUCAAUUAAAGUUUUACAAGAAUCUUAUCAUAAAAAAAAAGUGGCUUUUGAGUCAGAUCGCAUGGGACAAACAUAAAUAAAUUAAAACUUUAUUUAUCUUUCUAUUACCGGAGUCUAAAUUUCCAAUAAUAAUGUCUUCACCCAAUGAUCUCUUCCACAAUGAAUCCUUUGGAAAUCCACCACCUCUCUCUAACCCAAGAAAAUCCCACGACCGGGUUGUGUAUAGUUCAUAUUUUUCAUUUAAAAAAAUCGAUACUACAUUCGGAUGCUCUGCAUUCACCAAUAAUAUAACAUCAAUUAGUUGACAACAAAAAAAACACCAAUUAAAAAAAUUAUAUAACAAUGUAUAACAAUAUUUAUAUAUAUCAUACAAAAUGGAAGAUAAAUGUAAGAAUUAAAUCAAAACUACAUACUUGAAAGCUGAGCUGCUUCAUCUUCAUCAAGUAUUGCAGCAAAUCCAUUAAUGUAUCUAUUAUAAGAGUAAAAUAUUGCUUCUUUCGCCUUUUCGGUGCUGUGUAACAAAAAAAAUAUAUCAUCAUUUCAUAAUUUAAUUGACCACAUAAUUUUCUGCAUUUUGGAGAUUGAAUUUUAUACCUUCCAAGGUAAGAUCCAAGUAAAUCAUAGUGAGAGUUUGUGGCAGAUUCAAUAUCAAAUGAUGAAGGAUUUGGACCAUGAGAAUGUGAUCCUAAGUAUACAAUAUAGGACUAACAAAAAAAAAAAAAAAACAAUGAUUGAUUAUUAGACCAAAUAGUUAAACAUUAAAAUAUAAAAAUUAGAUUAUGAUGAGCACCAUAAGUUGUCUACAGUGACAGAAAUUUUGUGACCAUUUUUAAUUUAAAAAACAAAACUUUAGUGAGCAAUGAAUAAUGAAAAUUUGAGAAAAUAAUCUUGCCUGUUUAAUUGCAAGGGUAGGUUCCUGCAGUAAAACAAAAAGAAGAAGUGACAUUAACACAUGAGAAAUGGAUGAAGACAUUGUUUCUCUCAUGAAUGAUGUUUGUUUUUCAAAAUAAAUUUUAGGGAUAUACAAAGUGUAUGUGCUCUCCUUCGCUUAUAUACUAAUUUCUGUGAUUAAUUUUUACCAAAUUCCCAAUGUGAACAACCAUUAUUUGUAAUGGAGUCAACUAUUGUGGUCAAGUUCAUUCUUCAUUUUUUUCAAAAAGUUCAUUCUUCAUUUUUUAGGCAUUUAUUUAAAUAAAUAAAUUUAAUUUAAUUAAUAUUGAAAAUUGAUUUUUUGUUUUCAUGGUAAGAAAUUUGUACUAAUAUUUUCAAACAAGGAAGGUAAUAAAUAGAUUUUUUAUUUUAGGAAAUCGGUACUAUUGUUUUCAAACAAGGAAGGUAAUAAAUAGAUUUUUUUUUUAUUUGAAUAGGAAGGUAAUAAAUAGAUUAAUCCAACAUCAAUAAUGUGUUAUUUAUAUAUUUAUUUUUUGAAGGAAAAAACGUUUUAUUUACUGGAUACCCAUAAAUUAAUAUUAUCGGAUCUUAAUUCUUUGAAGAAAAAAUCAUAAUAAUCUUUUUAAGGAGAUAAUAAUCUAGAAUUGACCUAAAAGUAAAACUUCAAUAUUGUUUGAAUUAGAGUAAUUUUGAUAUUAUUAAUUUAUUCUCAUAUACUUUAAUCUCUUAAUUUCAUUAACUUGCAUAAAUAAAAUAAUUUUAAAAUAAUCAUUAGGUUUCAAAAUGUUAACAUAUCAAUUUUCUCAUAUAGGUAUAUAUAAAAUUUGAUUUUUGAGAUAUAAACAACAUAUAAAAUUUACAACGGGUGCGGUGCAAACUUUUUUUUUUUUAAAGUCAAAACGGGUGCAAAUGAAAUUACAUAUUAAAAACGAAAUUUUGACUUUCACUAACUUAAAUAUUCAUUAUUAAAGAAUUUACAUAUUAAAAAUCACAUAUUUAUUUUUCAAAAUGACAUCUUCCAAAAAUGAUUUUUAUGAAAAGCUAUUUGAAAUAGCUUUUUCUUGUAGGGAUUUUUUCAAAAUUUUAGUAUAAAAAAAUAUUAACAAAAUGAUGAAAUACUUAGAAUUAUAUUUUAAGAUAAGUUAUUCAAACGAAAUUUUUAGUUGAAACUUUCCUUAAAAAUUUCUUUGCUAAAAAAAUUAUAGCAAAAAUAUAUUACACAAUAAAAAUCUAUAAAAAAAAAAAUUAAAACAAACGGGCCCAAAAUCUCUAAAAAAUAAUCUCUAAAUUAAUGUCAAAAUCACUUUUAUUUUAAUCCGUAACAAACGAACUCUAAAACUUAAAUAUAGUUUGAAUUAGAGUAAUUUUGAUAUUAUUCAAACAGUAUGAUCACGACCACAAGGUGUGCCACAUUACAAGACUAGCUAUGAACAACAAAGUACGACUCUUCUUCCAUCUGUUUUUGCUAAUUCCCGUCAAAAUAGUAGAGCGUCGUUAACUCACGCAGGUGUAUUCUCAGCGUGAGUUAACUCACGCAUGUGUAUUUCUCAGCGAAAGUGAGCAAAACCAGAUGGGAGAAGAGCAAUUCUCUGAACAACAAGGUACAAGCCCAACAAGGAUAAACUCAUAUCAGAAAUACAACACCCCUAAAAUUAGCCACACUAGGUAACAAGCAAAGAAAAUUGCCUUACUCCCUUUCCAUUUUGCUCAUUCCCAUCUCAAACUUUCAAACAUAACCCCACAAUAAGUUAAUUCACGUUUGGUAGACCCAUCAACCAGCGUGACUUAACUCAUGUUAAUAUCUAACGUGAGUUAACUCACGCUAACCCCCAUCAUGAGUUAUCUUGUGUUAGCUUCAUGUCUGAUAACAAAACAACAAUUCUCAGAAUUGUUGUUUUUUUAAACACCUAAACACCACAUUCAUUUUCAUCCAUUCAUUCAAUCAUUUUCAUCUAUUCAUUUGACCAUUUUCAAAAUCAAUUCUAACUUAAAAUAUGCAAAAUCAAAAGCAGUUCAAAAACUAUUCAAAUGUUAGGAAAAAAACACAAAUGCUCAUAUGUCAUAGAAAUGUCAUUACUUUACAUCAAGAGACAAAAUGCCAUAAAAAAAUUAAUAAUAUACAAUAGAAAUAAACACUAAAAAACCAUCAACUAUUACCCCCUCCUCUAGACUAUGGCUAUCCCCCCCCACCCCCGCCCCACCUCCCCCUCCUCCGAACAAUCAGUAGCUCAGCCACCGGGUGCAUCUCAUCUUGGAUCAUCAUCAUCAUACUGUGAUGGUAUGGAUGUGGGUCGAGAUAACGCAACGCCUCCUUGGUAAUGUCGUAAAUGUUCCGAAUAACUUGGAGUGGCUCAGGAAGCUCUCUCGCAUAAUCCUCCUGAAUAAUGACCUCCUGAUUAGGAGGUCUAGUAGGUGGCUCCUUAAUAACCUCUGUUAGAUGGCUCGUCACCAGAUGAGAGACACGGUAGAACCAAGUUGCGUACCCUGAUCUAGUCUUUCACGAAUCUCUUUCCACCCGACCCCGAUCAGCCAACUGUAUAACAUGGAUCAUAUAAUCUCUGAAGGCCUGGAUUAUCUCCUUUGGAUCAAGAGGUGCUACGUCCAUAGGAGGUCUGGAAUGCCCUGCACACGCACAUACUGUCUCAUCACCCUCUUUGACAAGUGACGACCACUUUGUUUUAGUGUUAGCCAUGAUCUAACUCGAGUACCAAAAUAUAUCAUGAAAAGGUAUGACAUCCCGGUGAUCAACGUACGACCUCCAUAUGACAUCCUCCUUCACCAUUCGAUCUAGGAGGCCUCGAUAGUGACUCGUGGAAGCAUGACCCAUUGUCAGAAAAUUGGUUGGCAUGCGAAAAAUGAUGCUCAUAAUUCGCAUUAGCAUUCCACAUAUAUAUUUUGGUGAAGUGCUCCAUAACUCAUGCCUACAAAUACAAACAAACAAUCAUAUCAACACAUGUAUAUACAAACAAAUAUUUCAUCAUCACAUACAUAUACAAACACAAUCAUAUCAACACAUUUAUAAUAUACUAUAUAAAAGAUUAAUUACUAUCUUAAAUAGAGACAUGUAUCUUGCAAUGGAACCCUUUGCAGGGUCUGUAGUCUCCGAAAGCUGGGUGUAGAGAUGAGCCAGUGCCAUCCCGCCCCAGAACUACUCGUGUACCCCGUACAAAUCCUGCAUCCCCUCCAAUCAUAUCAAACUAACGUGUUUGUUGCUCUUGUUGGCGAAAAUGGUGACACCAACCGAGAACAACAAAAAGGCCCUCAAACAAUACUCUCUAGUCUGACGAAGCUCCUCCUCCUCAGCCGGGUCCUCCAACUCAUUGCACUUACUAGAGUGUCUCUCGUAGAACUUCUUCAGUGAAGGAAUACUCGCAUUUCCACCUCCUUGUGCGACUAUCUCCCCUUGUAGCCUCGUCAUUAGUAACACCCAACAACUUCACCAUCAGCUGAAUGCCUAACUCGUAACCAAGUCGCCAAACGACAUCUACUUCCCUUUAAUGGGGACGUGUAGAAGACACGUCACACCAUUGAGUGUGACAGUCAUCUCCCUAACAAGUAGAUGGAAGUUGUUGGUCUCCUCGUGCCAUCUCUCUGACAAUGCGGUGAUGAUGCCAGAGUUGAUGCUAGAAAACCUAGUCUGAAGAAGUGGGGCAAGACCGAAUCCAUUAAUUCGAUCCCAAAACUAAUAUGCACCCUCUCCUGGGACUUCCAACUUGUUAGCCUUAAGCUUCUUUCCGUGCAAGGAAGGGGUCGGCUUAUACGUCCUCCGAAAUUGAAAUAACAAAAAAGAAAACAAACAACAAACCGUUAAAAAAGAAACAUUUGAAUAAUUAAAAAAUAAACAUAACAUAACGAUUAAAUCGUAAAUAAGAUAUUCAAACAAAUUUGGGCUCGUGGCGAGGAUUGCUCAACGAUCAUCAAAGAAACUUGGUUCACCAAUACCAAUCAAUUCAUACCAUUAUGAGCAGACUAUGAAUGCUUUAUCUAAUUGGGGCAAUACGAAGUUUGGUCACAUUCCUAAAAAAAAAAUAAAAGAGCUCCAAAAUGAUAUUGAAGGUCUCUAUCGAGUAUGAAACCCCUAAUUUCAUAUGGAUACGAUCAAUAGUGUUAGCAAGGAGCUAGAUGAUACCUUGAAAUUGCAAAGAAACGUGGUGGCAUGCAAAGAAACGUGGUGGCACCAAAAAUCCAUAAAUCUUUGGAUCUAACAUGGAGACAAAAAUAAAUACGUAAAUAAAAUUAUUCCGAGAAAAAGAGAAACAUUGAAGCUAUCAAAAAUUACCAUUUGGGUAUUAUCACUGAAAACCCUGGGAUAUUGAACAAAUUUUUAUUAAUUAUUUUAAAGUCGUCUAUUAUAGAGAACAUCGAGGAAACAAUGGCUGUGGUGAAAGAUAAAGUUCCUAACAUGCAGAAUAUCCUCCAAGCUCAUUUAACUAGUCAAAUGUAAAGUUUGGCUUCACCAGGUCUAGAUGGCUUUCCAACAAUGAUUUACCGUAAUUAUUGGGAGAUUAUUGGUAAUUAUGUUUCUAAUCUUGUCCUUGAUGUUCUGAAUAACAAUAGGGACCCUGGUGAAAUGAAUAAGACUUACAUAUGUCUUAAUUCGUAGAUUAAACAUCUUAAGUUCUUUUUGGUGGGAGAGUAAAGACUUUGAGGGUAAAGUUCAUUGGAUUAUGAGGGAUCACUUAUGCAAGCCAAAAUCUGACGGGGAAAUAGGGUUCAUGAAUCUUAGGGGCUUUAAUGAAGUCCUCCUUAGAUGGCAGCUCAUGGUAUUGGUGUAUGUUGGUUCCAUUAUGGCCAAAUUUUUAAAUGAUAAAUACUAUCCUAUGUCAUUGAACUAAGAUCCUUAAUGAGUUUUAGUUAUUGUUGAGUCAAUUGAGAGCAUUCGAGUUUCAUCAGUGAAACAACUAUUGACUAGAUACUAACUACCAACAAAACUUUAAAUUUCUGUUAAUAAAAAUAACUUCAAUAGACAUAUGCUUAUGCUCUAACGGUAAUGACUGUUAGAAUCAUGGUUGGAAAGUUUUUUUCUUCAAUUCCUUUGUGUCUAAUUAUUUUAUAUUGUUUCUAUUAACAUGUUGCUAAAUACUUAUACCAACAUAGUCUUUAUACAAAAAAAUUCAAUGUUAUUAAAACAUAUUAUUAAUCUCUUUUCCGUAUAAUCUUGCGGUAUUAAUUUCUAAUGUGUUUGUUUUUUGACAAAUCACAAUAUUUUUCUAAUGUUAAUACGUUAUAGGAAUUUUUUUUUUUUUGAAAAGGAAUAAAUUGUUAGAGAUUGGUUGAACAUUAUUUUAAUUCAUAUUGUUUUAUCUUAUUCAUAUUUGAUUCCAUUCAUCAUAAAUUACCAUUCAAACAACAUUGAAAUAUUCACUUCACAAACUUUAAAGAACUUGUACACAACAAAACAUGUCCCUUUAUUGAAAACGGGAGAAAAAUAUUGACACUGUCUUAAACAAUUUGUAGAAAAUGCAGCAGUAACCUAAAUAAAUACCACUAAUGUGGAUACUUUAUUGCAAUAGGAGUCCCAACUUGAUGUUUUCCAUCGGUCCAAACCAAUUUUCCAAAGACGUAAUCAGUCUUAUACGUAGUUCCUUUCUUCAAGGUUAAUGUAACCUUGAACUCUCUUUUUUCACCCUUUUUCUUAAAAUUUAGUCUCCUAGGCUCCACUGAAACUAGAAAUUCUGCGGGUGCUUGGAUAUGCACUCUAUACUUGCUUGGAGACCCGACAUUGGUUACAGUACGAGUAACGUUCAAAGGCUGUCCAAUUUUAAAGUCAGGAAUUGUGAUGGCUGGAUAAUUGAAAUCAAUUAAAUUGAAGGAUUUGGGACAAGUGUAAGGUCUUCCAUAGAACAAUUUAAGUUGCGAGCUGUUGUAUCCACGACCACAUAAAAAGUUCAAAUAAUCAGUUAUAUUUAGGUCAUACACAAGUCCAGGAUCUGCUGCAAGAUUAGGUCGAACGUGCCCUGCACCAUAUGCAUGAGGAGUUGCUUCUUCUUGUGAUGAAUCCAACACAUGGCCUCCGAUGUUGUCUUUUGUUGUUGC